rnacentral:rRNA from 1 species
AUUGAACGCUGGCGGCAGGCCUAACACAUGCAAGUCGAGCGAGAGGCGGACGGGUGAGUAAUGUAUGGGGACUGCCCGAUAGAGGGGGAUAACUACUGGAAACGGUGGCUAAUACCGCAUACUAUCGGAUAACCCAUAUGGGAUUAGCUAGUGGGGGGGGUAAAGGCUAACAUAGGCGACGAUCGCUAGCUGGUCUGAGAGGGUGAUCGGCCACACUGGGACUGAGACACGGCCCAGACUCCUACGGAGGCAGCAGUGGGGAAUAUUGCACAAUGGGCGCAAGCCUGAGGCAGCCAGGCCGCGUGUAUGAAGAAGGUCUUAGGGUUGUAAAGUACUUUCAGCGGGGAGGCGUUACCCGCAGAAUAAGCACCGGCUAACUCCGUGCCAGCAGCCGCGGUAAUAC